rnacentral:rRNA from 1 species
GUCCACACCGUAAACGUUGGGCGCUAGGUGUGGGGCCUAUUCCAUGGGUUCCGUGCCGCAGCUAACGCAUUAAGCGCCCCGCCUGGGGAGUACGGCCGCAAGGCUAAAACUCAAAGGAAUUGACGGGGGCCCGCACAAGCGGCGGAGCAUGCGGAUUAAUUCGAUGCAACGCGAAGAACCUUACCUGGGUUUGACAUAUGCCGGAAAGCUCUAGAGAUAGAGCCCCUUUUGUCGGUAUACAGGUGGUGCAUGGCUGUCGU